AAACUAACAAGGAUUCCCCUAGUAACGGCGAGUGAAGCGGGAUGAGCUCAAAUUUAAAAUCUGGCGGCCUCAGGUCGUCCGAGUUGUAGUCUAGAGAAUCGUUUUCCGCGUUGGCCUGUGUACAAGUCCCUUGGAACAGGGCGUCAUAGAGGGUGAGAAUCCCGUCCUUGACACAGAUUACCAAUGCUUUGUGAUGCGAUCUCGAAGAGUCGAGUUGUUUGGGAAUGCAGCUCAAAAUGGGUGGUAAAUUCCAUCUAAAGCUAAAUAUUGGCGAGAGACCGAUAGCGAACAAGUACCGUGAGGGAAAGAUGAAAAGCACUUUGGAAAGAGAGUUAAACAGUACGUGAAAUUGUUAAAAGGGAAACGAUUGAAGUCAGUCAUGCUUUCCGAGACUCAGCCGAUUCUGUCGGUGUACUUCUCGGUUGGCAGGCCAGCAUCAGUUUCGAUCUGUGGAAAAGGUUGGAGGGAACGUGGCAUCUCCGGAUGUGUUAUAGCCCUUCUUCGAAUACAUAGAGCGGGACUGAGGAACGCAGCGCGCCUUUUAUUAGGUUGGCCCUCGGGUACAUACNCGCUUAGGAUGCUGGCAUAAUGGCUUUAAACGAC
rnacentral:rRNA from 1 species